rnacentral:lncRNA from 1 species
AAUUAAAUAUUUUAAAGAUGUUUUAGUUAUAGUAAUGGGGAAGAAAAAAAAAGAUGCACUAUUGUCAGGUAAUAUGAUUUUAUGCCACUUUUAAUCAAGGAGUAACCUUAUGUUUGUUUUUGUAUUUAUAUAAAAUUAUGUGAAGUGAUGACACAAAAUUAUGCAAUUUUAGCCAUGUGUGACCAUGUGUAUAUACACACACAUACAAAUAUGCAGAAAUCUAAAGUAAAAUUUUUGAAUUCCAUUUUUUACCUUUUAGAUAAAUUAUAAAUAUUUAAGUUAUAUUCCAUUUCUGAAUUUGUUAGAUAAAAUAUAUAUUUUUGCAUAAAACACUUUUUUUUGCAUUAAGAUUGUGUCACUUUCUUGAGAGAAAACCACUACAGCUUCAAAUUGUAUGUGGAAGGGUCUUUUGAAAAGUACCUGGAAAGGUUGGGACAUUCACAGGAAAGUGCUGGACAGCUGGAAUUAAGAACAUUUAUAAGGGCCAUCUUGAUUGCCAUAUAUACCAUCAUCCACCAUGCAGAAGGCUAGAAGGAGACCCUGGGACCCAAACUUCUGCCCAAGGUCUUACUUGAUCUUCUUGGAAAUUGCUCUGAAAAUGAGAUUAAGUUCAAUUCAACAAGUAUCAGAUGCCUACUAUGUACAAGAAACUGAGUGCUGAGCAAAGGCAGAUAACAAUAAAACGCUCCCUGCUCUAAAGAUUUGCAGCUGAAUGGGACAGUAAAUGUCAAGAUCAAUCCUUUCAUUUAUACAUGAGGAAGGCUCAGAAAAAUUAAAUGACUUCCUCCUCAAACCAGUAAGUAGCAAAGCAAAU